rnacentral:RNase_P_RNA from 1 species
UUAGCAAACCGACCCGUCGCUUUGGUUUAAUUUAUUAAUUAAUUCAAAGAGGAAAGUCCGGACAACAAACAGCAGCACACUCUUAGAAAUAAGAGGUUUCGGUAUAAAAACCGAAAACAGAAAGUGUUACAGAAAACAACUACCGCCAAAAGCGGAAAAGGUGAAAACGUGGGGUAAGAGCCUACGCAAUGUACAGUGAUGUGCAAUUGGAAAAAACCUUGUGCGUUGAAAGACCAUGUAAACUUUGAGCAUGAUACAGCUGGUAUCAAACAAGGCAGCAAUGCCCAACUCAAAGAGGGUAGGUCGCUUAGAUAAAUGGCGGGUAAUAUCCGGGGGGGUAUUUACAGAAUCCGGCUUACAGGUUUGCUUUUUUU